rnacentral:SRP_RNA from 1 species
GCAUGUGCCUGUAGACCCAGCUACUUAGGAAGCUAAGGCAGGAGGAUUGCUUGUGCCAGGAGUUCUGGGUUAUAGUGCCAAUUAAGUGUCUGCACUAAAUUCAGCACCGAUAUGGUGAUCUCCUGGAGUGGGGGACCAGCAAGUUGCCUAAAAAGAGGUGGACUGAUACAGGUUAGAAUUGGACCAGAUCAAAGCUCCUGUGCUAAUCACUAGUGGGAUGGCCUUUGUGAAUAGCCACUGCACUCCAGCCGGGCAACAUGCAACCUUGUUGCUUA